CGCGCACCCGUGCUGCUCCUUCUCCCCUGCCCACGCACCCGUGCGGCUGCUUCUCCCCUGUCGCCGGUGGUUUCUGCCCGUGCUGCUGCUGCUCCCCUGACCCUGCCCGUACUGCUGCUGCUCCACUGACCCUGCCCGUGCUGCUGCUGCUCCACUGAGCUGCCUGUGCUGCUGCUCCUUGACCCUGCCCGUGCUGCUGUUGCUCUACUCUGCACCCUGAAGAAGAGAUUAUCUAAUCAAUAAGGUUAUCCCGGCAAUUCAGGAUAAGUGGCCUGAGGAUGACGAGGGAGCAACAAUAUUCAUCCAACAGGAUAAUGCAAAGCCCCAUGUCCUUCCCAAUGAUGUAGCUUUUCGAGAAGCUGUGGAACAAACUCAUCUUGACAUCCGAUUGCUACAACAGCCGCCAAAUAGCCCUGAGUUAAAUUGUUUGGACCUCUGCUUCCAUACCUCUCUCCAGUCUCUAACCGACUGCAGGUCACCCACAAACAUCCAAAAACUGGUACAAGGUGUGGAAGAGGAAUUCGAGAACUACGAUCCCGACAAGUUGCACAGAAGCUUUAUCACAUUAGAAGCAGUUAUGUUUGAAGUUAUGAAAGACAAAGGAGGAAAUCAAUAUAAGUUGCCCCACUUGCACAAGGAUCGCAUUCAGAAUGCUGGCAGGGAAAUCAUCAGUGUAUAUUGCGACAGUCGGGUAGUUGUUGAUACUAGGGCCAUUAUAGAAGAAAUGGAAAUUGCAUUAGGAAAAGAAAAUGAUAGGAAAGAAUUGGCUAAAGAAGGGAGAAGAAAGAAAAGUAAAGGGAAGGGAAGGGAAGAAGUGGCCAGAGAAAGGAAAAGAAUGUAGUCAAGAGGGGGCAAAGAGGCCCUUAUGUCAUGUAGUCAGGUGCUCCUUGUGUAUGUCUUGUGUAAUCUUGUGUCAAGAGGGGACAAAGAUGCCCUUAUGUCAUGUGUAAUCUUGUGUCAAGAGGGGACAAAGAGGACCUUAUGUCAUGCCCUUGUGUAUGCCUUGUCUAAUCCUUGUAUAUAAACUCCUUGUUGGAAUUUAUUGGAAUUUGGGUUAUUUGGAAUUUGAAUUGAUUUGGAUUAAUUUUA